rnacentral:lncRNA from 13 species
CAGCCUCCAGAGUAGCUGGGAUUAGAGGUGUGAGUCACCAUGCCCAGCUGAGGCAUCAUUUUUGUUGCUUCUUAUUUCUCACUUUGCCCUACAAGAUCAGCUUAGUAAUAUCAGAGAUGUAUUGAAUCCUUGCAACCUUCAUAUGAAAAUGCCAUGUUGGCCAUAGCUUUGGCCUGGAACACAAAAAUGGAGCACUUCAGUUCAACAAGACAAUGAUAAGUGGUGGAGCUCUGACAAGAGAGAAAGAAAUGACACUGCCAUCUUUUGGAGAAUUCAGAAGUGAGGGAGUCCCACUUUGUUGCUCAGGCUGGAGUGAAGUGGCGCCAUAGGCCCACAGCAGUCUCCAACUCCUGGACUCAAGCGAGCCUUCCACCUCCCAGAGGCCAAUCUAUAGCAUUGUGACCUAAAUAAAUGCAUGUUACUUUAAGUCA